rnacentral:rRNA from 1 species
UACGUAGGGUGCAAGCGUUAAUCGGAAUUACUGGGCGUAAAGCGUGCGCAGGCGGUUGUGCAAGACAGAUGUGAAAUCCCCGGGCUUAACCUGGGAACUGCGUUUGAAACUACAAGGCUAGAGUGUGACAGAGGGGGGUGGAAUUCCACGUGUAGCAGUGAAAUGCGUAGAGAUGUGGAGGAACACCGAUGGCGAAGGCAGCCCCCUGGGUUAACACUGACGCUCAGGCACGAAAGCGUGGGGAGCAAACAGG